rnacentral:lncRNA from 1 species
AGGCUUCCAUGUUUGAGGGUAAAUAAGAAUGCUUAGUGCUCAGUGCUUUAUUAGAUUUAACAGGAAUGUUACUAUUUUUGUAUUUCUUUUGUCCCAAGGUAUAGCAGGAAGUCAUCAAGUAUAUAUGAAAACAAAUCUGAGACAUCAAAUGUGGAUGCAUCUAACAAUAAAAACAGGAAUUCCAGUCCCAGCGCCAGACAAAAGAGAGGUUGGCCCGGCAGACAAAUGCCUUCUCUAGACACAUUUGAAGAUUUUGAAGCCAUCCCUUCCAGCAUGGAUGAACUCUCUAACUCUUCUGAUUUGGAGGAAGAGACCAACCCUAACAAUGGGAGCAACCUCUUCCGGGUUGAAGGCAGCUUUGACAGCUGUUUCCCAGAUUCUCUUUCUCUCGAGGAUGGAGAUUUAGUGCAGUUUGUGCAGGAAGGAGAGAAUGGUCAAUGGUGAGUACGGCAGAGAGACAGAACUGGACAGCUGGAACAGCCAGAUCCUCCUGGAAAAGAUGGAAAUAUAGGUUGUAUAUUAGGGAACAGCUUUUUUAUAGAAAGAGUGAUAAAGUUCUGGAAUGGUCUGCCCAGGGAGGUGGUGGAGUCACCAUUCCUGGCUGUGUUUUAAAAAACACUGGAUGUGGCACUGAGUGCAUGGUUUAGUUGAGGCGUUAGGGCUGGGUUGGACUCGAUGAUCUUGAAGGUCUCUUCCAACCUAGUGAUUCUGUGAUUCUCUAUGGAUACUUGUAGGACUGCCCUGGCUCCUCUGCCUUCUUCCUUAGUUCAGGAGAUAAUAGCCCAACAUGCACCUCUAAGACACACAACCCAAGGAGGGUCAAUGUAGGAAAAUUCACUGACUGUUCUCUGAGUUUCAGGUUAGUGAAGAAACUGGUCUCUGAGAAAAGCGACUGGGUUCCCUCCAGCAUAUUGCAGCCAGCAGAGGGGGACAGUAGCAACAUAAUUAAGAGCAGCAAUGCAGGUAAUAAAGAAAAUGUGUUACUGGUAUAUUUGUUUUCU